rnacentral:rRNA from 1 species
UAGGGAAUUUUCCGCAAUGGGCGCAAGCCUGACGGAGCAACGCCGCGUGCAGGAGGAAGGCCUUCGGGUUGUAAACUGCUUUUAUUGGUGACGAUUUUGACGGUAGCCAAUGAAUAAGGACCUGCUAACUACGUGCCAGCAGCCGCGGUCAUACGUAGGGUCCAAGCGUUAUCCGGAAUUACUGGGCGUAAAGAGUUGCGUAGGUGGCAUAGCAAGCAAAUAGUGAAAGCGUGAGGCUCAACCUCAUACCCAUUAUUUGAACUGCUAAGCUUGAGUAUAAGAGAGGUAGCUGGAAUUUCUAGUGUAGGAGUGAAAUCCGUAGAUAUUAGAAGGAACACCGAUGGCGUAGGCAGGCUACUGGCUUAUUACUGACACUAAGGCACGAAAGCGUGGGGAGCGAACGGGAUUAGAUACCCCCGUAGUCC